AAAUUCCAAUGUGUGCGGAUCUGCAAAAAAUGCGAAAUAACCCUUUAACCGUACAUUUGACAGAUACGCCCGCACUGACUUUUUUGUAGAUCUUAUUGAGAUACAUGUGUGUGUCAAUUUUUGUGUCAAUAUGACAAAGCGUACAGCCGUGACAGUCAAUAGUGUGAAUUUUCACCUUAGGGGGCGCUAUGGAGCCAUUUUGCAUUUUAUUGUUUGGGCGACUUCAGAAUAUCGAAUUUUUCACCAGGCCCGGUCGUCCUGCCAAAUUUCCUGAGUUUUCGCCAGUGGGAAGUGGGCCAUUUUCCAGUUUAAAGCGGAGGAAAAAUAAUAAUAACUAGGGCCCCGUUGGGGCACUGGCGGGCCCGAGCCGUGUCGCGCUGCCCCCCCCAACGCGCUGCCUCCCCGUCCCAUUCGCGUCCUCUGGCCAUCGCCCUCUCUGGUAACGCCCAUCACUGCAAAGACCCUUUCCUUCAUCGGCGUUUGCUGUUCUUCCUGCCAGUGCGUGUUGCUUUCACUUACACUUGCCACAGCCAGCCUCGUGAGUGCCUAGCCUAUUGGAUAUCACUGUCAUCUACACAGGACAGUCAUAACCUUUCUAUUAAUACUUGUUUUUUAAUUUCACAUUAAUUUCAAUAUUGUAUAAAUGACUGGAAAAAACUUGAGCCCCUGCCCCUGUAUAAUCAUGUGCACGUCCCUGUUCUAGCUCCAAGGUGAAUCUUCACUGCUCAUGUUCUCCUCAGAAGUAGUCACCUCACUUUCCUCAGGUGACUGUACACAUGCACCAACUGCCUGCUUCAGGUUUGGAUGGAGCUUCAUGGUUGUCUUUUGGAGAAAUGAGCAGUCAAGUUGUGUUUGAAAUUUGAUUUUUUUCAGGGGCAAAAAGGGGCCUCUGCAUUCUAGUCAAAUAUGUAAAUAGCAUGUUUUUGCAGGUGCUGAAAAACAGACUCUGAGUGUGUGUGUGUGUCUGUGUGUGUGUGUGUGUGUGUGUGUGUGUGUGUGUGUAUGUUGGCGUGUGUGUAUAUGUGUGUGUAUCCUGCAGUACUCUGUACUCCUGCAGUGGCCAAAAAGACUUUUAAGAAUGUGGAUUUUUGGGUCAUCUUUGGCGCCCCCUAGAACUGCAGUACUCUGUACUCCUGCAGUGGCCAAAAUGACUUUUAAGAAUGUGGAUUUUUGGGUCAUCUUUGGCGCCCCCUAGAACGUAAACCGUGGGGUGCAGCGUCAUGAUUUUUACAACUUUGAAUGGGCAUGGGGUGUAGAUUGCCCUGAGCAAAUUUGGUAUCGGUGGGACGAAAGCCUUAGGAGGAGAUAGCCACAUUCCAAUGUGUGCGAAUCGGCAAAAAAUGCAAAAUAGCCCUUUAACCGUACAUUAUACAGAUACGCGCUUUUUGACUUUUUCGUAGAUCUAAUUGAGAUACACAUGAUUGUCAAUUUUUGUGUCAAUAUGACAAAGCGUUCAGGCGUGACACUCAACAAUGUGUAUUUUCAUGUAAGGGGACAAGAAAAAAUUGACUUUUUUCUCCUACCAUGGGGGGCGCUCUUUUGGGGAGUAAAAAUUCCUUCACAAAUGUGUUGAUGGCUGGACAUUGCAUCAUCCUAGAAAACUUGGAGGCCAGUGAGGACAAAAAAAGUUAUAAAACAUUUAAGAAUGUGGAUUUUUGGGUUAUUUUUGGCGCCCCCUAGAACCUAAACCAUGGGGUGCAGCAUCAUGAUUUGAAUAACUUUUAAUGGCCAUGGGGUGUAGAUUGGCCUGAGCAAAUGUGGUGCCGGUGGAACGAAAGCCUUCGGAGGAGUUAGCGAAAUUCCAAUGUGUGCGUAUCGGCAAAAAAUGCGGAAUAACCCUUUAACUGUACAUUUGACAGAUACGCGCGCAUGGACUUUUUUGUAGAUCUUAUUGAGAUACAUGUGUGUGUCAAUUUUUGUGUCAUUUUGCCAAAGCGUACAGGCGUGACAGUCAAUAGUGUGUAUUUUCACCUUAGGGGACAAGAAAAAAUGGACUUUUUUCUCCUGCCAUGGGGGGGCGCUCUUUUGGCGAGUAAAAAUUCCUUCACAGAUGUGUUGAUGGCUGGACAUUGCAUCAUCCUAGAAAACUUGGAGGCCAGUGAGGACAAAAGUAAAAAGUUAUAAGACUUUUAAGAAUGUGGAUUUUAGUGUUAUCUUUGGCGCCCCCUAGAACCUAAAUCGUGGGGUGCAGCGUCAUGAUUUGUACAACUUUUAAUGGCCAUGGGAGGUAGAUUGGCCUGCGCAAAUGUGGUGCCGGUCGAACAAAAGCCUUCGGAGGAGUUAACGAAAUUCCAAUGUGUGCAGAUCUGCAAAAAAUGCAAAAUAACCCAUUAACCGUACAUUUGACAGAUACGCCCGCACUGACUUUUUUGUAGAUCUUAUUGAGAUACAUGUGUGUGUCAAUUUUUGUGUCAAUAUGACAAAGCGUACAGCCGUCAUGUGAAUUUUCACCUUAGGGGGCGCUAUGGAGCCAUUUUGCAUUUUAUUGUUUGGGCGACUUCAGAAUAUCGAAUUUUUCACCAGGCCCGGUCGUCCUGCCAAAUUUCCUGAGUUUUCGCCAGUGGGAAGUGGGCCAUUUUCCAGUUUAAAGCGGAGGAAAAAUAAUAACGAAAGAAGGAAACAUGCAGGAACAAGAGGGCUCUCGCAGCUGCUUAGCAGCUACGCUCGGGCCCUAACUAGGGCCCCGUUGGGGCACUGGCGGGCCCGAGCCGUGUCGCGCUGCCCCCCCCAACGCGCUGCCUCCCCGUCCCAUUCGCGUCCUCUGGCCAUCGCCCUCUCUGGUAACGCCCAUCACUGCAAAGACUCUUUCCUUCAUCGGCGUUUGCUGUUCUUCCUGCCAGUGCGUGUUGCUUUCACUUACACUUGCCACAGCCAGCCUCGUGAGUGCCUAGCCUAUUGGAUAUCACUGUCAUCUACACAGGACAGUCAUAACCUUUCUAUUAAUACUUGUUUUUUAAUUUCACAUUAAUUUCAAUAUUGUAUAAAUGACUGGAAAAAACUUGAGCCCCUGCCCCUGUAUAAUCAUGUGCACGUCCCUGUUCUAGCUCCAAGGUGAAUCUUCACUGCUCAUGUUCUCCUCAGAAGUAGUCACCUCACUUUCCUCAGGUGACUGUACACAUGCACCAACUGCCUGCUUCAGGUUUGGAUGGAGCUUCAUGGUUGUCUUUUGGAGAAAUGAGCAGUCAAGUUGUGUUUGAAAUUUGAUUUUUUUCAGGGGCAAAAAGGGGCCUCUGCAUUCUAGUCAAAUAUGUAAAUAGCAUGUUUUUGCAGGUGCUAAAAAAAAGACUCUGAGUGUGUGUGUGUAUAUCCUGCAGUACUCUGAGAAGAAUAAUAAGCAUAUUUCUGAGGUGAAUUUUGAAGAUUCAUCUGAGAGUUAGGAGGGCUGAUCAUUCCCUUACCCUUUAGAUGUCUGUCUAUGUCUGUUUUUGUGUGAUAAUGAAAGAAUCCCAACUCAAAAAGGCUCUGUUGAUGUUUUUUUUUUGUUGUUGUUCAUUCAUAUUCAAACCACUAUUUUAUAUCACUGCUAAUACGCCAAGACCUUUUUAUGGAAUUUAGCUUUAUUAUUUCUAUACAUUUUGCAAGGAAAGAAACCAAGGCCUUCACUAAAAUUUCCAUAAACUUUAGGAAAGGACCUCUGGUUGUUUAACGGGGUCAUUACUGCAAAAACAUAUUCUUCCUAAAUUUUGAAGGUCAAACCUUAGAUCCAUUAGGUUUAAAUAGAAAAAGCAUUAAAAUAUGUUAGGAUUAUAGCAUAUGACAAAUAUGUGCCUUUCAGUGGCCACAACUACUUUGUCUGCUGGCUCUGCAGUCGAUUGACGCUCCCCAGCGUUCAAGUCACAUUACAUAUUUAACCGGAUGUAGCAGCAAGACGGAGCCUCGUUGACUCUCCGUUUCAACUUAUCUCAAAAGUGAGGACCUCAAACUAUACACCAGUUUUCAAAUUGUGUUGAUAGGCCAAAUAAAACCAGAGUUAUGAUAAAUUAUGUCCGCGAUACUUUUUUUCUGCUUAUUUUGAUCACGUUCGGCGCUCGAUCGCGCUGUAUGAGACAGGAAAACAUAGCAUGCAGACAUUAGCGACAGGUCUUGCAGGCGGAAAAGGCUUGCCAAAGAAAAAGAAAAACACACCACAACAUCUCUCCUAUUGGUGGAAAACUUCACCACAACAACCAAUCCAAAAUUAUAUGGUGACUGAUUGACAAGGGGCGGGCGCUUACGUUCUUCCUGCAACAUGAGAAGGGAGGGAGGAACUCUCAGCAGGGAUGCAGUCUGGGACACGUAGUUGCAAACCUAGCGACUUUGUUGUUAGAUUCAAUGACUUUUCAGACCCCCUAACGACUUUUUUUAGAAAGAAAGGGACUUUUAUCGACUUCUUCUGGAGUUUAGAGACUCUGACAUGAAGCAGGCUUUCCUUACUGAGGAGUUAGCAACGCUGCUAAGGGUGCAGAGCCACACAUGCGCUCCGAGCUCUGCAUGGGAGACUAAAGCUGACAGAGCUGCAGCAGUUAGCAGGUUUCACCCUCAGAGACCACCAGGGGUUCAUGUUGAGGCAUUUUCAGUUUUUUUUUUUUUUUGCCAUAGACACUGUCAGCACAAUCUGCAGUUACACUAACAAAAAUGCUGCAAAAAACAAAGAAUUAUGGAAAAAUUACACAUGGACUAACAUAGAGGAGGAUCUACACAAGUUUUUUACAUCAUGUUUUACAUCAUGCAUCAUUUACAUCAUGUUUUUUUGUAGUGGCAUAAAUAAAAAGUGACAUUUGUGAGACUAUACAGUGUUUUGUAAAUAAUUUUACAAAGAACGCCUGGGCCAUUGCCUGCAUUUUGAUGUAAAUAGAGGUAAAUUACUAUGUUCUUUGUUAAAAAUUUGCAUAUGUUUUGAAGUUUACAAUUUUUAUUUGAAGUUUAAGUUUUAAAAACAGUUCAUCACACAUAUUUGUGGUUUAAUUUCACAUUAAUUUCCAUAUUGUAUAAAUGACUGGAAAAAACUUGAGCCCCUGCCCCUGUAUAAUCAUGUGCACGUACCUGUUCUAGCUCCAAGGUGAAUCUUCACUGCUUAUGUUCUCCUCAGAAAUAGUCACCUCACUCCCCUCAGGUUACUGUACACAUGCACCAACUAUCUGCUUCAGGUUUGGAUGGAGCUUCAUGGUUGUCUUUUGGAGAAAUGAACAGUCAAGUUGUGUUUGAAAUUUGAUUUUUUUCAGGGGCAAAAGGAAGCCUCUGCAUUCUUGUCAAAUAUGUAAACAGCAUGUUUUUGCAGGUGCUUAAAAACAGACUCUGAGUGUGUGUGUGUGUGUGUGUGUGUGUGUGUGUGUGUGUGUGUGUGUGUGUGUGUGUGUGUGUGUGUGUGUGUGUGUGUGUGUGUUGGCGUGUGUGUAUAUGUGUGUGUAUCCUGCAGUACUCUGUACUCCUGCAGUGGCCAAAAAGACUUUUAAGAAUGUGGAUUUUUGGGUCAUCUUUGGCGCCCCCUAGAACUGCAGUACUCUGUACUCCUGCAGUGGCCAAAAUGACUUUUAAGAAUGUGGAUUUUUGGGUCAUCUUUGGCGCCCCCUAGAACGUAAACCGUGGGGUGCAGCGUCAUGAUUUUUACAACUUUGAAUGGGCAUGGGGUGUAGAUUGCCCUGAGCAAAUUUGGUAUCGGUGGGACGAAAGCCUUAGGAGGAGAUAGCCACAUUCCAAUGUGUGCGAAUCGGCAAAAAAUGCAAAAUAGCCCUUUAACCGUACAUUAUACAGAUACGCGCUCUUUGACUUUUUCGUAGAUCUAAUUGAGAUACACAUGAUUGUCAAUUUUUUUGUCAAUAUGACAAAGCGUAAAGGCGUGACACUCAACAACGUGUAUUUUCACCUUUCGGGAUAAGAAAAAAUGGACUUUUUUCUCCUGCCAUGGGGGGGCGCUCUUUUGGGGAGUAAAAAUUUCUUCACAAAUGUGUUGAUGGCUGGACAUUGCAUCAUCCUAAAAAACUUGGAGGCCAGUAUGGAAAAAAAUAAAAAGUUAUAACACUUUUAAGAAUGUGGAUUUUUGGGUUAUAUUUGGUGCCCCCUAGAACCCAAACCGUGGGGUGCAGCAAGAUGAUUUGUACAACUUUUAAUGGCCAUGGGGUGUAGAUUGGCCUGAGCAAAUUUGGUGCCGGUGGAAAGAUAGCCUUCGGAGGAGUUAGUGAAAUUCCAAUGUGUGCGGAUCAGCAAAAAAUGCAAAAUAGCCCUUUAACCGUACAUUUGACAGAUACAUGCCCUUUGACUUUUUCGUAGAUCUUAUUGAGAUACACGUGAUUGUCAAAUUUUGUGUCAAUAUGACAAAGCAUACAGGCGUGACACUCGACAAUGUGUAUUUUGACCUUUGGAGACAAGAAAAAAUGGACCUUUUUCUCCUGCCAUUGGGGGGCGCUCUUUUGGGGAGUAAAAAUUCCUUCACAAAUGUGUUGAUGGCUGGACAUUGCAUCAUCCUAGAAAACUUGGAGGCCAGUGAGGACAAAAGUAAAAAGUUAUAACACUUUUAAGAAUGUGGAUUUUUGGGUUAUCUUUGGCGCCCCCUAGAACAUAAACCGUGGGGUGCAGCGUCAUGAUUUGUACAACUUUUAAUGGCCAUGGGGUGUAGAUUGGCCUGCGCAAAUGUGGUGCCGGUCGAACGAAAGCCUUCGGAGGAGUUAGCGAAAUUCCAAUGUGUGCAGAUCUCCAAAAAAUGAAAAAUAACCCAUUAACCGUACAUUUGACAGAUACGCCCACACUGACUUUUUUGUAGAUCUUAUUGAGAUACACGUGUGUGUCAAUUUUUGUGUCAAUAUGACAAAGCGUACAGCCGUCAUGUGAAUUUUCACCUUAGGGGGCGCUAUGGAGCCAUUUUGCAUUUUAUUGUUUGGGCGACUUCAGAAUAUCGAAUUUUUCACCAGGCCCGGUCGUCCUGCCAAAUUUCCUGAGUUUUCGCCAGUGGGAAGUGGGCCAUUUUCCAGUUUAAAGCGGAGGAAAAAUAAUAACUAGGGCCCCGUUGGGGCACUGGCGGGCCCGAGCCGUGUCGCGCUGCCCCCCCCAACGCGCUGCCUCCCCGUCCCAUUCGCGUCCUCUGGCCAUCGUCCUCUCUGGUAACGCCCAUCACUGCAAAGACCCUUUCCUUCAUCGGCGUUUGCUGUUCUUCCUGCCAGUGCGUGUUGCUUUCACUUACACUUGCCACAGCCAGCCUCGUGAGUGCCUAGCCUAUUGGAUAUCACUGUCAUCUACACAGGGCAGUCAUAACCUUUCUAUUAAUACUUUGUUUUUUAAUUUCACAUUAAUUUCCAUAUUGUAUAAAUGACUGGAAAAAACUUGAGCCCCUGCCCCUGUAUAAUCAUGUGCACGUCCCUGUUCUAGCUCCAAGGUGAAUCUUCACUGCUCAUGUUCUCCUCAGAAGCAGUCACCUCACUCCCCUCAGGUUACUGUACACAUGCACCAACUAUCUGCUUCAGGUUUGGAUGGAGCUUCAUGGUUGUCUUUUGGAGAAAUGAACAGUCAAGUUGUGUUUGAAAUUUGAUUUUUUUCAGGGGCAAAAGGAAGCCUCUGCAUUCUUGUCAAAUAUGUAAACAGCAUGUUUUUGCAGGUGCUAAAAAACAGACUCUGAGUGUGUGUGUGUGUGUGUGUGUGUGUGUGUGUGUGUGUGUGUGUGUGUGUGUGUGUGUUGGCGUGUGUGUAUAUGUGUGUGUAUCCUGCAGUACUCUGUACUCCUGCAGUGGCCAAAAAGACUUUUAAGAAUGUGGAUUUUUGGGUCAUCUUUGGCGCCCCCUAGAACUGCAGUACUCUGUACUCCUGCAGUGGCCAAAAUGACUUUAAAGAAUGUGGAUUUUUGGGUCAUCUUUGGCGCCCCCUAGAACGUAAACCGUGGGGUGCAGCGUCAUGAUUUUUACAACUUUGAAUGGGCAUGGGGUGUAGAUUGCCCUGAGCAAAUUUGGUAUCAGUGGGACGAAAGCCUUAGGAGGAGAUAGCCACAUUCCAAUGUGUGCGAAUCGGCAAAAAAUGCGAAAUAGCCCUUUAACCGUACAUUAUACAGAUACGCGCUCUUUGACUUUUUCGUAGAUCUAAUUGAGAUACACAUGAUUGUCAAUUUUUGUGUCAAUAUGACAAAGCGUUCAGGCGUGACACUCAACAAUGUGUAUUUUCAUGUAAGGGGACAAGAAAAAAUUGACUUUUUUCUCCUGCCAUGGGGGGGCGCUCUUUUGGGGCGUAAAAAUUCCUUCACAAAUGUGUUGAUGGCUGGACAUUGCAUCAUCCUAGAAAACUUGGAGGGCAGUGAGGACAAAAAUAAAAAGUUAUAAGACUUUUAAGAAUGUGGAUUUUUGGGUUAUCUUUGGCGCCCCCUAGAACCUAAACCGUGGGGUGCAGCGUCAUGAUUUGUACAUCUUUUAAUGGCCAUGGGGUGUAGACUGGCCUGAGCAAAUGUGGUGCCGGUGGAACGAAAGCCUUCGGAGGAGUUAGCGAAAUUCCAAUGUGUGCGGAUCGGCAAAAAAUGCGAAAUAACCCUUUAACCGUACAUUUGACAGAUACGCCCGCACUGACUUUUUUGUAGAUCUUAUUGAGAUACAUAUGUGUGUCAAUUUUUGUGUCAAUAUGACAAAACGUACAGACGUGACAGUCAAUAGUGUGAAUUUCCACCUUAGGGGGCGCUAUGGAGCCAUUUUGCAUUUUAUUGUUUGGGCGACUUCAGAAUAUCGAAUUUUUCACCAGGCCCGGUCGUCCUGCCAAAUUUCAUGAGUUUUCGCCAGUGGGAAGUGGGCCCUUUUCCAGUUUAAAGCGGAGGAAAAAUAAUAAUAAUAAUAACAAACUAGGGCCCCGUUGGGGCACUGGCGGGCCCGAGCCGUGUCACGCCGCCCCCAGCGCGACCGCCUCCCCCACCCGAUCGCGUCACACUCAAGGUCCAAAGAUGGUGUGCGCACUUGUUUGUGGUCAUUUACCAUUAUAAUGAACGGGAGGCGCAGUUUCUACCAAAACGCUCGCUGCAGAAAAACUCCAUGUCCUAUUUGAAAAAAGUCUGGACCAUGAGUGAGGGCACAAACACAGCUAAGAUAUAUCCAAAUGGCAAGUUGCUCCUCCUUUCGCUUUUGCCGAGAGAGCAGUGCGUUUGAGCCAUUGAAUGAUGAACAGGAAAAACUUGACUUUAUUCUCCUGCCAUGGGGGGCGCUCUUUUAACGAGAAAAAACUCCUUCACAAAUGUGUUGAUGGCUGGACAUUGCAUCAUCCUAGAAAACAUGGAGGCCAGUGAGGACAAAAAUAAAAAGUUAUAAGACUUUUAAAUAUGUGGAUUUUACGGUUAUCUUUGGCGCCCCCUAGAACCUAAACCGUGGGGUGCAGCGUCAUGAUUUGAAUAACUUUUAAUGGCCAUGGGGUGUAGAUUGGCCUGAGCAAAUGUGGUGCCGGUGGAACGAAAGCCUUCGGAGGAGUUAGCGAAAUUCCAAUGUGUGCGAAUCUGCAAAAAAUGCGAAAUAACCCUUUAACCGUACAUUUGACAGAUACGUGGCCAUUGACUUUUUCGAAGAUCUUAUUGAAAUACACGUGUGUGUAAAAUUUUGUGUCAAUACGACAAAACAUACAGGCGUAGCACUCAACAAUGUGUAUUUUCACCUUAGUGGACAAGAAAAAAUGGACUUUUUUCUCCUGCCAUGGGGGGGCGCUCUUUUGGCGAGUAAAAAUUCCUUCACAAAUGUGUUGAUGGCUGGACAUUGCAUCAUCCUAGAAAACUUGGAGGCCAGUGGGGACAAAAAUAAAAAGUUAUAAGACUUUUAAAUAUGUGGAUUUUACGGUUAUCUUUGGCGCCCCCUAGAACCUAAACCGUGGGGUGCAGCGUCAUGAUUUGAAUAACUUUUAAUGGCCAUGGGGUGUAGAUUGGCCUGAGCAAAUGUGGUGCCGGUGGAACGAAAGCCUUCGGAGGAGUUAGCGAAAUUCCAAUGUGUGCGGAUCGGCAAAAAAUGCGGAAUAAACCUUUAACUGUACAUUUGACAGAUACGCGCGCAUUGACUUUUUCGUAGAUCUUAUUGAGAUACAUGUGUGUGUCAAUGUUUGUGUCAUUUUGCCAAAGCGUACAGGUGUUACACUCAACAAUGUGUAUUUUCACCUUAGGGGACAAGAAAAAAUGGACUUUUUUCUCCUGCCAUGGGGGGGCGCUCUUUUGGGGAGUAAAAAUUCCUUCACAAAUGUGUUGAUGGCUGGACAUUGCAUCAUCCUAGAAAACUUGGAGGCCAGUGAGGGCAAAAAUAAAAAGUUAUAAGACUUUUAAAUAUGUGGAUCUUAGGGUUAUCUUUGGCGCCCCCUAGAACCUAAACCGUGGGGUGCAGCGUCAUGAUUUGAAUAACUUUUAAUGGCCAUGGGGUGUAGAUUGGCCUGAGCAAAUGUGGUGCCGGUGGAACGAAAGCCUUCGGAGGAGUUAGCGAAAUUCCAAUGUGUGCGGAUCGGCAAAAAAUGCGAAAUAACCCUUUAACCGUACAUUUGACAGAUACGCCCGCACUGACUUUUUUGUAGAUCCUAUUGAGAUACAUGUGUGUGUCAAUUUUUGUGUCAUUUUGACAAAGCGUACAGGCGUGACAGUCAAUAGUGUGAAUUUUCACCUUAGGGGGCGCUAUGGAGCCAUUUUGCAUUUUCUUGUUUGGGCGACUUCGGAAUAUCAAAUUUUUCACCAGGCCCGGUCGUCCUGCCAAAUUUCAUGAGUUUUCGCCAGUGGGAAGUGGGCCAUUUUCCAGUUCAAAGGGGAGGAAAAAUAACUAGGGCCCCGGUGGGGCACUGUCGGGCCCGAGCCGCGUCGCGCCGCCCCCAGCGUGAUCGCCUCCCCCUCCCGAUCGCGUCACACUCAAGGUCCAAAGAUGGUGUGCGCACUUGUCUGUGGUCAUUUCCCAUUAUAAUGAAUGGGAGGCGCAGUUUCUACCAAAACGCUCGCUGCAGACAAACUAUAUGUCCUAUUUGAAAAAAGUCUGGACCAUGAGUGAGGGCACAAACACAGCUAGUAUAUAUCCAAAUGGCAAGUUGCUCCUCCUUUCGGUUUUGCAGAGAGAGCGAUGCGUUUGAGCCAUUGAGCGAUGGGCAGGAAAAACUUGACUUUUUCUCCUGCCAUGGGGGGCGCUCUUUUGGGGAGAAAAAUUCCUUCACAAAUGUGUUGAUGGCUGGACAUUGCAUCAUCCUAGAAAACUUGGAGGCCAGUGAGGACAAAAAAAAAAGUUAUAAGACUUAAAAAGUUAUAAGACUUUUAAAAAUGUGGAUAUUUGGGUCCUCUUUGGCGCCCCCUAGAACGUAAACUGUGGGGUGCAGCGUCAUGAUUUGUACAACUUUGAAUGGCCAUGGGGUGUAGAUUGACCUGAGCAAAUUUGAAGCCGAUGGGACAAAAGAUUUAGGAGGAGUUAGCGAAAUUCCAAUGUGUGCGGAUCGGCAAAAAAUGCGAAAUAACCCUUUAACCGUACAUUUGACAGAUACGCCCGCACUGACUUUUUUGUAGAUCUUAUUGAGAUACAUGUGUGUGUCAAAUUUUGUGUCAUUUUGACAAAGCGUAAAGGCGUGACAGUCAACAAUGUGUAUUUUUGCCUUAGGAGACAAGAAAAAAUGGACUUUUUUCUCCUGCCAUGGGGGGGCGCUCUUUUGGCGAGUAAAAAUUCCUUCACAAAUGUGUUGAUGGCUGGACAUUGCAUCAUCCUAGAGAACUUGGAGGCCAGUGAGGACAAAAAUAAAAAGUUAUAAGACUUUUAAGACUGUGGAUUUUUGGGUUAUCUUUGGCGCCCCCUAGAACGUAAACCGUGGGGUGCAGCGUCAUGAUUUGUACAACUUUUAAUGGCCAUGGGGUGUAGAUUGGCCUCAGCAAAUGUGGUGCCUUUGGAACGAAAGCCUUCGGAGGAGUUAGCGAAAUUCCAAUGUGUGCGGAUCGGCAAAAAAUGCGAAAUAGCCCUUUCACCGUACAUUUGACAGAUACGCCCGCACUGACUUUUUUGUAGAUCUUAUUGAGAUACAUGUGUGUGUCAAUUUUUGUGUCAAUAUGACAAAGCGUAAAGGCGUGACAGUCAAUAGUGUGAAUUUUCGCCUUAGGAGACAAGAAAAAAUGGACUUUUUUCUCCUGCCAUGGGGGGGCGCUCUUUUGGGGAGUAAAAAUUCCUUCACAAAUGUGUUGAUGGCUGGACAUUGCAUCAUCCUAGAAAACUUGGAGGCCAGUGAGGACAAAAAUAAAAAGUUAUACGACUUUUAAGAAUGUGGAUUUCUGGGUUAUCUUUGGCGCCCCCUAGAACGUAAACCGUGGGAUGCAGCGUCAUGAUUUGUACAACUUUUAAUGGCCAUGGGGUGUAGAUUGGCCUGAGCAAAUUUGGUGCCGGUGGAACGAAAGCCUUCGGAGGAGUUAGCGAAAUUCCAAUGUGUGCGGAUCGGCAAAAAAUGCGAAAUAGCCCUUUAACCGUACAUUUGACAGAUACGCCCGCACUGACUUUUUUGUAGAUCUUAUUGAGAUACACGUGUGUGUCAAAUUUUGUGUCAUUUUGACAAAGCGUACAGGCGUGACACUCAAUCAUGUGAAUUUUUCACCUUAGGGGGCGCUAUGGAGCCAUUUUGCAUUUGAUUUUUUGGGCGACUUCAGAAUAUCGAAUUUUUCACCAGGCCCGGUCGUCCUGCCAAAUUUCAUGACUUUUCACCAGUGGGAAGUGGGCCAUUUUCCAGUUCAAAGGGGCAGAAAAAUAAUAA